UACGAAGGGGGCUAGCGUUGCUCGGAAUCACUGGGCGUAAAGCGCACGUAGGCGGAUCGUUAAGUCAGGGGUGAAAUCCUGGAGCUCAACUCCAGAACUGCCUUUGAUACUGAGGAUCUUGAGUUCGGGAGAGGUGAGUGGAACUGCGAGUGUAGAGGUGAAAUUCGUAGAUAUUCGCAAGAACACCAGUGGCGAAGGCGGCUCACUGGCCCGAUACUGACGCUGAGGCACGAAAGCGUGGGGAAGCAAACAGGG
rnacentral:rRNA from 1 species